GGACAAACUGGAUUGCAUUGUGGAUUGCACAAUGGAUUGCACUGUGCUCUUGGAGCCUCCAGCAGAGAGGGGCUGUGAGAAUAAGUGCAAGGAAGGCUAUGGGUGCAUGAAGGGUCAACAGUGGGAACGCCAACAUUUAGUGGGAUAAACUAAGGGAGGAACAGAAGUCAGUAAAAGGACAGGAUAGCACAAAGUAGAAUAGAUUAAUGCAGAAGAACAAUUUCUAUAAGCAAAAAAGCCCACACCUUGACACAGAAGGGAUUACUUUUUAAUAUCAUCCUCGUUGCUCUUCUGGUAUUCUUGAUUUCUCCAGCUUCGAUCUGGGACGUGCAGGAGGUGGCUGCUGCCAUCACAGGAGUUCCUCCCCCAGACAACCCACACCGUAAACGUUAUUGCCCUAUAAAGAGCACUCCGCAGCUUGUCAGGGAUCCCCAAAGCCGGCAUUAGGAAAUCAGCAGCAGGCACCAUCCCCAUCCCCCAGCCUGCUCCGCCAUUCACUUCCAAUUAUGCUAAAUCAGGACUCUGAAUUUUGGGUGAGAGCCAAACUGCCAAUCCCAUAAUCAGUUAUGAACAACGUGGGCAACAUCUAUCUAAUCUGUAAAUGACCGGCUAGUCUGAGAGGCUCCUGUAACGAGGCUGGAACAGCCUCUGCCUGGGUAAUUAUUCACGUCUGGAAAGGGGGAAGAAAUCCCCUCUGGGAAGUGCUGGUUUAUAGGGCAUCAAAACCUGGUGCAGCACAUUUCCUCAAGGGUAGGAAAAACUGUAGGAAAACGAGGGGAAAAAAAGGAGAUUUCAGGAUUGGAGUUGGGGUUUUGGUUGCUUUCAGGGACAAGAACUGUGACCACAGGGCUUGUGGGCAUCAUCAGGUGUGAGAUGAUCGCAGCAAUGCAGGUGCAGCAGCGGAGGGGUGAUGUUCCUUCUCCAGCCCCACGUGGGAGCAGCAUCUGGGGAAAACCAAAGCAAUGCCACCGCUUUGCUGGGUCUGAGCAUCCCUUGCACAGGUCCAAAGGCUCAGAAGAGAGGGAGUAAGCUUUAUGGGAACAGCUCACUUUUCCCUGCUACCGGGGUGCUCUCUGGCACUGCACGCUCCCUGCAUGGGCACGCAGGAGGAACUUCCAGCCUUCAUCGCUCACCCUUCAGCACAGAGCUGAGCCUCCAUCUGCUCUGACGCCUUUCCCAUCUCCUGCAGCCCUCAGCAGCACAGCAAAGGGCCUUUUAGCCUUGAGGAUGGGGAUGAGUGGAAGAGGAAGCUCUAACCGCACAGACGAGGUGGGUCUCUAUCACACAUGGCCCUUGGGAGUGACAUCACUGGAACGAUGGAGGGAGCAUACCAAGUGGCUUUGCUUCUUGCCUUGGAAUCCAAGAACCUUCCUCAGUACACCAUCAAGCACUUCAAGGGUCUCUGGAGGAAAUCACAUGGCCCAGGAGGGAGCUUUGACUCUAUGCAGCCUAUUCUGUAUCCACGUUCACAAGUGCAACAAUUUCUGAGAAGUUCCCAGCAUGCAUAAGUUGCAUCCAGAUCAGCUUCUCAACCUGCCAUCCCACGCGGAAAGAGGAUUUUGCUGUGUCACCAAAUCUGAGGACAUCUGCGUGACAGAAAGAGGUGGGUAGAACAGCUCAAAAGUGGGACCUGAUGGGCCAUCUCACCAUAGCUGCUCAAGGCUGGGAGGAAUGAGGAUUCCUCUGACGUGCACCCUACAGUGUGCACACUGCAGCCACAUCCUUGAUCCUUUGGAUAAGGGCACAGAAGAAAGGGGGAGACAAGGGGAUGUCUAAAUGGGAAAGACUUACAGGCCUGAAUGCCAGAGUCCCUUCGUGUCACCUUCUGCAGGAGCUUCCAUCUGCUGCAACUGUGGCAUGGAUUAACUGAGGCAACAGAGAUUGAUUCAACAAGAUCCAGCAACCUAGGCUUGCAAAAUACCACUAAUUAAAAUUGGCUUUGUGCCUUCUCCUGGCUCAAAGGCCCAUGGCACUUGUAAGACUGAAGGUUAGCAGGGCCCAUGACCAGAGAAAUCGCUGGUACUUUCAAAGAUGCUGUUGGGAGGUUGAACAGAUAUAGAGUUAAAUCUGCAUUGGAGCAUGGUGGCAUGCACAUUUCUUGAGUGCUCUUCAAGACCUAUUUUUUUUUUUAGGUAAUUCCACCUAAUCAUUUCUAUGCCAUCUCUACAGGAUGGUCCUGCUUCCACCUCCCACAAGGCUGCUCCCCUUUUUCCACAUUACCAGGUGAGCCAGGUUAAUCAGGCCUGGAAAUACACCUCACACUUGUUUGGAACUUUAUUCCUCUAAAACAAAAGUAAAACAUUUUGGCCUAGAAACUUCAAGUGUGAUUUAGUACCUUGCCUGUAGCAGAGACUGUUGCCCCUGGAGAGAUUGGGGCAUCUUCCAUUAUUAGCGACAGGAUCCGCACAUGCAAUGAAGCCUGCGUGGCAGAUGUGUGCAUCAGAAAGCACAGCUCAGGGCCUGACUCUGUAAUUGGUAUAAUUAUGCUGGGGCCCUGAGUAAUGUUUCAAGCAACGUUGGUCUUCUCAUGUUGAGUACACUG
ensembl:lncRNA